GGUGACGUGGAGACGCAGCAGUGACACCACCGCCGGCUGACGGAAUAGCCGGUUAAAGAGUGUAGACGUCGAUUCCCGCAGGCAAAUCCACGGGAAGAGUCGAACUUGAUAGUACACCAACACCUUCGGGUAGCGGUGAUAGUGUGGGUAAGCAGACUGCCGAGAAAAUCCGCUAAACUUAACGUUGUAGGUACCCGUACCGCAAACGGACACACGUAGUCGGGUUGAAUAUACUAAGGCGCUUGGGUGAGUCACGGUUAAGGAACUAGGCAAAUUGACCCUGUAACU
rnacentral:rRNA from 1 species